rnacentral:lncRNA from 1 species
AAAGGUAAGCCAUGGGGGAGCACUUUUAGAAUUAAAUCGAGAAGCUUACUGGGUAAAAGCACUUUUUUUAAAUCGUAACAAUGCUAAACCCUUUGGCCAUCUGCAUUGAAAGAAAAACUCCUUUAAGUGGUAGUCACUCAACGUUCUUGAUGGUUGUGUUUAUGAUCAGGUAAUCCAUCCGAUUCAUGACCAAUCAUUUUACCUAACUGCGGAGCACAAAAGGAGACUAAAGGAGAAAUAUGGUUAGUACAAAGAAUGACAUAUUGUUAUCUAAUGUAAAAACUUUGCCUAUACCGUGUUUUUUCGUCUUUUUCCUCAUGCAAUUAUGCGCGUGAUUCCUAGGAGUUGAACCAUGGACGUUUGAGCAAAAUCUCGGAGAGGCUGUUUUUAUUCCGGCUGGAUGUCCGCACCAAGUUAGAAACCUGAAGGUAUUUAAUUAAUACAUCCAUCAUCGUUCCAUGUUGUGGAACACAUGUUUAUGGUCUCUCAUAGCUAUGUUUUCCAGUCAUGCACAAAAGUCGCCUUGGACUUUGUUUCUCCAGAGAAUAUCCAGGAAUGCCUCCGUUUAACAGAGGAGUUCCGGCAACUACCCAAGAACCAUAGAGCCAGAGAAGACAAACUUGAGGUAGGCACAUCCUUUCGUUGAUGUUUCGACUUAUUUAUUUCCUGCAAAACCUUACUUGCAAACGGUUUCGUGUAAACAGAUUAGGAAGAUGAUUAUUUAUGCAGUAGAACGAGCUGUUAAAGAAUUAUCUGAACUGAUAUCAACUCCAAACUGAAGCCAGCUUCGACAACUGCAACCAUGGAACCGACCUUUUUGUAUUUGCUCGGACAAUUGUUAAAGACUAUCCGAGCUGAGAAUUUCUUUUCUUUUCCCCGGAGUUUAACUUGACCUAUUUGUAUGCAACUUUUGGAACACACAGCUGAACUUGCUUACAAUAGAUGCCAAUCAUUUUUACUAUUCCAUCUUAUAAAUUCUUCGUAGACCUGUUAAUACAUGGUCAAUAUGAAACGAUUACACAAAACAUGAAAAAAAAUUAUAAAUACAGAAUUCGUGCAAUUUCAAAACUUGGCAAGAAUAUACUUGACACUAAAAAAUACGAAAUGAAAUAUGAAUACACAAAUUGCUAAAUCUAUUAAGAUGAGCAAUCACAAAAAAAAUAUUUAUACAUUGGUUAUGCUACAUUUGCCGAUUUUGUCUUAGUUCGAUUGGUAUGAGCAUUAUUGUCAAUGCAGGAAAUAUGAGUUCAAGUGCACUAAUGCGAGACUAUGGGUAAUUCUAAACAUUAUAUAAAAAAUAACAAACCUAUAAUUAGGUUAUCAAAAAAAAGUUAUGCUACAUUUAACAAAAGUAUUAUUUUUUUUCAAAAUGUCUUAAUACAUAAGUCAACAAUAAACUAAUUCAAAUUGGUAAUGAAUUAUUUGUUUACUUUAAUAUUAUUUUUCUAAGUUUUACUUGCGCUAAUAACCAGACAUAGCAUUAAUGUAUUAAAGCGAGGAAAAGCUUAAUUUUUACCCAAGUUUUAAAAUAAUUUAUCAUAUAUAAAAAAUAAUUAGUACAAACUUAAAUUUGAAAUCAGAAGUGAGUAAAACCUUAUUUAAAAAACACCUCUUCAUGUAAAAGAUUCCCUUCCUUUUUGGCUGGAAAGAAAAUCAUAUAAGCAAUGGCAGGGCCAAAGCGCUUGUAGGGCCAAAAUUGAAAAAUUUUCCUUUUCGACGCGCAAACCCAAAAAAAAAAAAAAUUAAUCCUUCAAAAAUUAUAAAAAUAUAAACUAUUAAAAUAGUAUAAUUACAUUUUUAUUAUUGUAAUAGUAUACAAUUUAAUUCCAACCCCAAACAAAAAUUUUCUAGAUCAAGCAACUGCAUAUAACUGAAUAAAAAUUAAACAUGAGAUCUGGUGUAGUGGUUGUUCACCUCAUCCCUCAACCAUUUGGUUGAAAGUUUAAUUCUUACUCAUAAAAAUUAAGUAUAUUUCAUGACUAACCAUUUAUCUAGACAUCCAUGGCUACUAGUUUCAGAAAAAAUAAAAGUACAAAACAAUUUUAUUUUAAUUGUUUCAAGUGAUGAAGUUCCAUCUAAAAAGAAAAAGUGCUCUCUUUUAUCACACCUUUCAAUAUCAAUGGCUAGACAAAAAAAUUCGAUAUAAAACACGGUAUGUAUAAACAAAUAUGUUAAAAUUUAUAAACAAUAAAUUCGUAUUGCUUAAAUAAAGAUGUCCAACCUCUGUUUAAAAAAAAUAAUUAAAACAAAAUUAAAAAAAAUACAACAACAAAAAACAUGAACACAUGAACAGCUAAAUAUAGAGACAAAAAAUAGCAAGCAAAAGAUUCAACUUCCUAAUAACAUUAUUAACUAUUUAAAUUAGUUGCUUUGUUUUUCAUUUUCAAUCAAAGACAUAUAAAUUAUUAAAAAAAUUAGUUUCAUAUAUUUGAAACAUAAAUAAAAAAAAGUUUAAAAUAAUUUUUGAUGUUCUCCAAAAGAAUUUUGAUUGAUGGGUAAAAUGCAAAGAUAAAUCCUAUAAACACUAAGAAUUUAUAAUGCAUUCAAAGUAAUAAGCAAACCCAAUCAACAAUCAAUCAAUAAACAAAAUAAAUGAAUGGACAAAAUUUCAUAUUAGAUCUAAAUCUAAAAUCUAAAAUAUUAAAACCUACUCCAUUAGCAUUCAAACAAAGUGUUCAUCACAAACACCCCAAAAAAAUCCUUAAUAAAAUUUCCCCACAACAUAAGGAUAUCUUACUUUUUUUCUUUGUAGAUUCAAAAAAGAAAUUGUAAAAUUUUAAAAAAUAAGAAUUGAUGAUGAAAAUAUAUGAAUCUAAAAGACCAAAAAAAGUAAAACAAAAAAACAAAAACAAUAUACAAACUUGUAAAUCAUACAAAUUAAAUCUUCUAAAAGAGAAAUCAGAUGAAGAGAACUUACCUUAUAACAGCUUCCCUAAAAACUCAUCAUCUUCCCUUCCAUUGAGAGAUCUAAUCCCUUCUCACAUAAAAAACCAAUAGAGUUGUACAUCUGGAGGCCUCUAUUUAUAGGUUAAUAAUUAGUUAGGGUUCCAAAAAAAAUUAUUAAUGAAAUGGCAAUAUUGCCCUUCUCUAUUAGAAUCUCCACAAGAAUAUUCCUGUUUGGAUUAGUAAUUGACUAAACUUGUAUU